CACGUAGGGCGCAAGCGUUGUCCGGAAUUAUUGGGCGUAAAGCGCACGUAGGCGGACUCUUAAGUCGGUGGUGAAAUCCUGGAGCUCAACUCCAGAACUGCCUUCGAUACUGAGAGUCUCGAGUCCGAGAGAGGUGAGUGGAACUGCGAGUGUAGAGGUGAAAUUCGUAGAUAUUCGCAAAGAACACCCUGGCGUAGGACGG
rnacentral:rRNA from 1 species